AUCUAACUGACGAGUCCCAAAUAGGACGAAACUGGAUUCUACUGCUAUCCAUUAU
rfam:Schistosoma mansoni strain Puerto Rico chromosome 2, complete genome